rnacentral:rRNA from 1 species
UACGUAGGGGGCAAGCGUUGUCCGGAAUUAUUGGGCGUAAAGCGCGCGCAGGCGGUCAUUUAAGUCUGGUGUAUAAUCCUGGGGCUCAACCCCAGGUCGCACUGGAAACUGGAUGACUUGAGUGCAGAAGAGGAGAGUGGAAUUCCACGUGUAGCGGUGAAAUGCGUAGAGAUGUGGAGGAACACCAGUGGCGAAGGCGACUCUCUGGGCUGUAACUGACGCUGAGGCGCGAAAGCGUGGGGAGCAAACAGG